UGAAUUCAGCAUAUACUGACCAAAAUUUACAGUAUGUUUCCUUUCCGAUUAACACUAAUUGUAUGCAUUUUCUGAUUCUAAUUCUUAAGUGAUCUAAAGCUGUUGACUGCCUAGAAGACUUAGACUAUGUUAUUUUAAAAUAACAUAGCUAAUGUAAGACCCUAAACUCCAGGAGUUUCAUUUACAAGCAACCUAGAAAACACAAGUGGCUAAUUUAUAAAGAAGCACAGAACAAAGCUGAACAAUAUCCUUCCACAGCCCAGACUCCAAGGCAGCAUGUUGCAAUAGUGUCACAAUGAAGUGGGCACAAUGAGGAGGGCUUACAGAGGUCGAGUUUUAUUUCUAGCCCUGCCACUACUUACGAAUUCCAGUUGUUGCAGAGUACACAGGAUGGGCAGGGUGAAGGAACGACUAAUUUUUGAGCAGGAGGCAUCUAUUCAUAAACACAGAGCACAGUUCUGUUCCAGAAGCCUUUGAAAUGUG
rnacentral:lncRNA from 1 species